rnacentral:rRNA from 1 species
UUGAAGAGUUUGAUCAUGGCUCAGAUUGAACGCUGGCGGCAGGCCUAACACAUGCAAGUCGAGCGGAAACGGCAGCAUUGAAGCUUCGGUGGAUUUGCUGGACGUCGAGCGGCGGACGGGUGAGUAACGGCUGGGAACCUGCCCUGACGAGGGGGAUAACCGUUGGAAACGACGGCUAAUACCGCAUAAUGUCUWCGGACCAAAGGUGGCCUCUACAUGUAAGCUAUCGCGUUGGGAUGGGCCCAGUUAGGAUUAGCUAGUUGGUAAGGUAAUGGCUUACCAAGGCGACGAUCCUUAGCUGGUUUGAGAGGAUGAUCAGCCACACUGGGACUGAGACACGGCCCAGACUCCUACGGGAGGCAGCAGUGGGGAAUAUUGCACAAUGGGGGAGACCCUGAUGCAGCCAUGCCGCGUGUGUGAAGAAGGCCUUCGGGUUGUAAAGCACUUUCAGCAGUGAGGAAGGUGGUGUACUUAAUACGUGCAUUGCUUGACGUUAGCUGCAGAAGAAGCACCGGCUAACUCCGUGCCAGCAGCCGCGGUAAUACGGAGGGUGCGAGCGUUAAUCGGAAUUACUGGGCGUAAAGCGCAUGCAGGCGGUUUGUUAAGUCAGAUGUGAAAGCCCGGGGCUCAACCUCGGAACCGCAUUUGAAACUGGCAGGCUAGAGUCUUGUAGAGGGGGGUAGAAUUUCAGGUGUAGCGGUGAAAUGCGUAGAGAUCUGAAGGAAUACCAGUGGCGAAGGCGGCCCCCUGGACAAAGACUGACGCUCAGAUGCGAAAGCGUGGGUAGCAAACAGGAUUAGAUACCCUGGUAGUCCACGCCGUAAACGCUGUCUACUUGGAGGUUGAGGUUUAAGACUUUGGCUUUCGGCGCUAACGCAUUAAGUAGACCGCCUGGGGAGUACGGCCGCAAGGUUAAAACUCAAAUGAAUUGACGGGGGCCCGCACAAGCGGUGGAGCAUGUGGUUUAAUUCGAUGCAACGCGAAGAACCUUACCUACUCUUGACAUCC